AUGAAAUGAAGAGUUUGAUCCUUGCUCAGGAUGAACGCUGGCGGCAUGCAUAACACAUGCAAGUCUAACGGUUUUAUUAUUACAGUGACGGACGGGUGAGUAAAAGUAAGAAUCUACACUUAGGAGGAGGAUAACAAUUGGAAACGUUUGCUAAUACUCCAUAAUGCUGUAAAGCUAAAGUUUUUCGCCUAGGUAUGAGCUUGCGUCUGAUUAGCUUGUUGGUGAGGUAAAUGCUUACCAAGGCUAUGAUCAGUAGUUGGUUUUAGAGGAUGGUCAGCCACACUGGGACUGAGACACGGAACAGACUCCUACGGGAGGCAGCAGUGAGGAAUUUUCCGCAAUGAGUGAAAGCUUGACGGAGCAAUGCCGCGUGGAGGAAGAAGGCCUUAGGGUUGUAAUCUCCUUUUCUCAUUGAAGAAGUUCUGACGGUAUUUGAGGAAUAAGCAUCGGCUAACUUCGUGCCAGCAGCCGCGGUAAUACGAGGGAUGCAAGCGUUAUCCGGAAUUAUUGGGCGUAAAGAGUUUGUAGGUGGUUUAAUGUGUUUAAUGUUAAAUAUUAAAGCUUAACUUUGAAAUAGCAUUAAAAACUAUUAGACUUGAGUAUGAUAGAGGUAAAGGGAAUUUCCAGUGUAGCGGUGAAAUGCGUAGAUAUUGGAAAGAACACCAAAGGCGAAGGCACUUUGCUAGGUUAAUACUGACACUGAGAAACGAAAGCUAGGGUAUUGAAUGGGAUUAGAUACCCCAGUAGUCCUAGCUGUAAACAAUGGAUACUAAGUGGUGCGUUUGUACUGCUGUAGUUAACACGUUAAGUAUCCCGCCUGGGGAGUACGCUUGCAAAAGUGAAACUCAAAGGAAUUGACGGGGGCCCGCACAAGCAGUGGAACAUGCGGUUUAAUUCGUUGGUACACGAAGAACCUUACCAGGACUUGACAUGCUAAGAAGUUUUUUGAAAGAUUAAUGUGCCGAAAGGAGCUUAGACACAGGUGGUGCAUGGCUGUCGUCAGCUCGUGUCGUAAGAUGUUGGGUUAAGUCCCGCAACGAGCGCAACCCUCGUUUUUAGUUAAAUUUCUAGAAAUACUGCCGAUUAUAAGUUGGAGGAAGGUGGGGAUGAGGUCAAGUCAUCAUGCCCUUUAUGUCCUGGGCUACACGCGUGUUACAAUGGUUAAUACAAAGAGUCGCUAAUCUGUGAAGACAAGCAAAUCUCAUAAAAUUAAUCUCAGUUCGGAUUGAAGGCUGAAACUCGCCUUCAUGGAAGUUGGAAUUGCUAGUAAUCGCCGGUCAGCUAUACGGCGGUGAAUACGUUCUCGGGCCUUGUACACACCGCCCGUCACAUUAUGGGAGUUGGCUAUGCCUGAAAAUGUUAUCUCAACUUUUUAAAGAAAGAAAUAUUUAAGGCCGGGUUAAUGACUGGAAUGAAGUCGUAACAAGGUA
rnacentral:rRNA from 1 species